rnacentral:rRNA from 1 species
CCUACGGGGCGCAGCAGUCGGGAAUAUUGCGCAAUGGAGGAAACUCUGACGCAGUGACGCCGCGUAUAGGAAGAAGGUUUUCGGAUUGUAAACUAUUGUCGAUAGGGAAGAAAAAAGACUGUACCUAUCAAGAAAGCUCCGGCUAACUACGUGCCAACAGCCGCGGUAAUACGUAGGGAGCAAGCGUUAUCCGGAUUUAUUGGGUUUAAAGGGUGCGUAGGCGGUCCGUUAAGUCAGCGGUAAAAUUGCGGGGCUCAACCCCGUCGAGCCGUUGAAACUGGCAGACUUGAGUUGGCGAGAAGUAC